rnacentral:tRNA from 1 species
GAGAAAGUCAUAGUGGAUAUGGUGUUGGCUUGAAACCAAUUUCUGGGGGGUUCAAAUCCUUCCUUUCUUA